CGGCUAGGCAUGCGGGUCAAGGCUCUGGUAGGGCGUGGACCCUCCGGCUGCAGCACGGGUCAGGGGCUCCGGCAGUGCGUGCGGCUUAGGGGCAAGCUCCUCCGGCGGCGCAUGGGCAUGGCGCAGCCCCUCCGGCAGUGCGUGCGGGUCAGGGGCUCCGGCAGCGCGCAGGCCUUCGAGUGGCUUAGGGACGAGCCCUUCGAGCGGCGCGUGGCAGGGUGCAGCCCCUCCGGCAGUGGUGGUGCCGGCCAUUAGCUAGUACCGCAACCCUUUACUGUACGGUCCAUGACAUUGUUGCAGCUGCUUGUAUCUAUCUCUAUCUCAGAUGCUUGAAUCUGAACUUUAAUAAACCCCAAGAUGGAUUAUCUGUUAUAGCUACUGGAAGUAGGUGUGAUAUUGACCUAUAUGAGUUACUGUGAACUUUUGGUCAAAUUUGUGAAGAUGCAUGUAUAUUGAUGUUGAAUUCUAGCUAUGUAUGUACUGAAUGAACUUUCAAAGUGUGAUAUUUGUAGUAA